CAGCGCCACAAGUGGCAUACACAUUUAUUGGGCCUAAAGCGUCCGUAGCCUGUUUUGUAAAUUCUUUGUGAAAUCGUCGUGCUUAACAUGACGACGUGCAGAGAAAACUGUAAGACUCGGAACCGGGAGGAGUCAGAGGUAUUUCUGGGGGAGCGGUAAAAUGCUAUAAUCCUAGAAAGACCACCUGUGGCGAAGGCGUCUGACUAGAACGGAUUCGACGGUGAGGGACGAAAGCCAGGGGAGCGAUCCGGAUUAGAUACCCGAGUAGUCC
rnacentral:rRNA from 1 species